rnacentral:rRNA from 1 species
AUUGAACGCUAGCGGGAUGCUUUACACAUGCAAGUCGAACGGAGUGGCGGACGGGUGAGUAAUAUAUCGGAACGUGCCUAGUAGCGGGGGAUAACUCCUCGAAACCGUGGCUAAUACCGCAUACUAUCGGACCAGCCCAUAUCGGAUUAGCUAGUUGGUGGGGUAACGGCUCACCAAGGCAACGCUCCGUAGCUGGGUUGAGAGGACGACCCGCAAAACUGGGACUGAGACACGGCCCAGAAUCCUACGGGAGGAAGAAGUGGGGAAUGUUGGAAAAUGGGGGAAAGCCGGAUCCAGACAUACCGCGUGUAUGAUGAAGGCCUUCGGGUUGUAAAGUACUUUUGGCAGAGAAGCGGUAUCUGCAGAAUAAGCACCGGCUAAGUACGUGCCAGCAGCCGCGGUAAUAC